rnacentral:misc_RNA from 1 species
ACAUUAAAUUUUUGUCACUACUUCAAAGUAACCUUAGUCGAUGAUAUAAAUUGAUCAUUGUAAAUUAACACAAUAAGGAUCAUGUAAAAUAUUUGCUUACAAUCUUGGCCAUGUAAUGACAUUGGAAUGGAAAUUUAUGAGGAUGUACAUUUAUAGUCUUUUAUGGCACCUAUAUUCCAUUUUGCGAGGGGAAGAUUGAAAAAAGCCUUG